rnacentral:rRNA from 1 species
CGGUAAUUACGUGGGACGUAAAGCGCAUGCAGGUGGUUUGUUAAGUCAGAUGUAGAAACGGCCCGGGGCUACAACCCGUACGGUAAUUGCUAUUUAGAAACGUGGACAAACUAGAGUACUGUAGAGGGGGUAGAAUUUCAGGUGUAGCGGUGAAAUGCGUAGAGAUCUGAAGGAAUACCGGUGGCGAAGGCGGCCCCCUGGACAGAUACUGACACUCAGAUGCGAAAGCGUGGGGAGCAAACAGGAUUAGAUACCCUGGUAG